UUGUAAGCCAGCUUGAAAUUGGAUAUGAGGACCCACGUGUUCAGUGGAACCACCAUCUUGCUUUCAUUGAUGUUAACUUCAUUACCCCCAGCCAUGAAACUAUGCUCUUUCAAAAUUCAAAAGCAAUAGCCAAUAACACGAAACAGAUCCUUUUAGAGACCAACCAGCUUCACAUACUGAAAACGAACAUAAAAGAAUUGAUCUUCACUCAGACUCAUGAUCGAAGAUUAUAAAACCCAAAAACGAAAGAGCAGCCUUUAAAAUUGCUAGUCUCUCCAGCUAUUCUUUCUUUCUUUCUUCUGCUUCCGAGUUUUUUUAAACAGAAAGAUCGAUAAACGAUAACAAUAAAUGGUAAAUCUCACUGCGAUAAAACUGUUUAAGAGAGAG
rnacentral:misc_RNA from 1 species